rnacentral:lncRNA from 1 species
CUUCAGAGUCUGCCUUGAUGCGAAUGGGACUUUGAAGAACGUAAGAGAAGAAAAGAAAAAUGUCUUCCCCCUCCCCACUUUUGCUACUGGGAUAUUUUUAAAGAAUCUUUUAAAAAGAAACUCCUGAGUACAUUUACCAUACCACAAGACAUAUCAAUAUCUACUUCCCUGUAUACAGAGGAGAUCUGGAGUGUGCAGACUCCAUGCGACCAGAGCUGGCUUCUAACAUUACUUUUUUCCUGGUUUUUCUGUUGAGUGCAAAAAAGUUCCCCUAAAUCAUCCUUGGGACUUGGACUUCCACGCCCUGGAUUCGCAAUCUAAACAUUCAGCUUGCACCCUGGGUCCCUUUUCCUGGGCUCCAUUGCCUCAUCUCUCUGAUCACUGACUGAAGGUCAGAACACCCAGAAGCCAUCUUACCUAGCCACAGGGCGUCUAUUUGACUGUGGCAGUACCUUCACCUUCUUCUCUGGUCAUCGAGCUCUUCUCUAUAUGACACCGAACAGGUUCUCUGUGACCUUGACUGGUUCUCCUGAGAGCUGCAGCUGACCAUCUUCACUUGAGAAUAAGGGGUGUAUGUGAGACCCAGACCAACCCAAGACUUUCCCCAAGGCCCUUUAAGGAACUUUAGUUCUGUGUCCUUUUCCAAGAGAGAGUUUGGCAAGGCAGGUCUAGACCUGAGCCAGUGCCUCAGAGGAGUGAAGGUUGUAGUUUCUGGGGAUUUGGCUCUCCCCUCCCCCCCCCCCCCGACUCCUGACGUCUGGGCCAUGGUGUUGGAAGGUAGUCUGUGUUUUCUUUGCCAAGAUUGUCUGACUUAGCUUUCUGCUGAUCCUGGCUGCUUUCCCCUGUAAAUAGUCUAUACGGUGCUGUACUUCUUAAUAAACUUGCUUGGAAUAAGUCACCGGCUUACACGGGAUCCCCCUGGUCCCCACUAUUGCCUUUGCUUUCUUUAUUUCUACUUUUCUCUCCUUCUUACCUCUGGCACUACCUACUGAACCCUUUGCCACUUGGGACUCAUUCCUGCUGGUUUGAGAAAGGCGCAGCUCUGGGUCCUUUCAGUUCCCAGAACUCAAGAGCUCUGCAGUCCGGUGAUAAAACCAAUUUCAUGGCAUCACCUCCACCUGCUGAAGAGGACAACAGCUCAGGGACUUUGGAAAGGUCCUGGAGCGCUUGCUCCUCCAAAAGAGGCUAAUUAACAUUAGCCUCAGACCACAGGGCUGGAACCAACCUGUAGGUGGGGACACAUUCCUCAGGACUGUCUAUUGGCCACCUACAGACAAGGGAAGCCCUUGCCACCUCAUUCCCUAAAGACCAAUCAGUUAAAAAAAAGUCACAGUGUUCUGCCAAUCACAUUGUGCCUAAUGGCUGCUGCCCUGAAAACUGUAUAAAAAGCUCACUGACCGAGCUGUGUGUGGUCGCCACUUCACCUUCAGUGUAAGACGACCCCAACUUGUUGGAACAAUAAAUUUCUCGCACUUUUUGCAUC